AAAAUGCGGCUGCCAACACCUUACUGGAAAUCCCUCCUCGGCCACCAAAGCCGACGCCACCACUCCCAAAAGAAAGCCCUUAACUCACCGGUCAAAACAAGACUGGCCCCGCCACCAUUGGAAGGCCGGAAACGCCUAGAUCGGUAGCAAGAAAGCCGUUGCCGCUGCACUCGCCGGCCUCCGCUGCGCCUUCGGCUAGCUCUGUCGCAUGCCCCGAUGGCUUGCCCCGGACGUCGCCCCUUUCUUUUCC
rnacentral:lncRNA from 1 species